UCACAAUUUUCAGCGAUGGAUGCCUCGGCUCGAACAACGAUGAAGGGCGCAGCGAAGUGUGAUAAUCUUUGUGAAUUGCAGAAUUCCGUGAAUCAAUAGAGCUUUGAACGUGUCUUGCGCUUUCGGGCUAUACCUGAAAGCAUGCCUGCGUUGGUGUCUGUA
rnacentral:rRNA from 2 species